GCCAAGUGAGGAGGAGACAUACACUCUGCAACUCGAACGCUAGUUUCUAGGGUUUGUGCCUCGGUGGAGGGGUCUUUCAGGCCAGGUUGUGGAGGAGGGUGUAUGACCUCCUCCACGUAGGGUUUCUGCUCUAUUUGAAGGUAAUGGCGACGUGGGACGAGAUCAUUGUGACCAAGAGUGUCACAACUUUGUGACCUUCCUUGCUUACUCAUUGUAUACUGAUGGAAUAGACAUUGAAACCCUGAGGUAUAUAUUGCUAUAAAGCCUUCUUGUCUAUUAGGCAAUAAAUUGGUCAAAAUCAAAUAGUGAAUAAAAUAGUUAUUAGUGAAAAUUAAAAAAUUAUGCAUCCAUGUCUAUAAUAUUAUAGUUAUGUAUUCAAGUUUGUCAAAUAAUUUCAUUUGAUAAAAGGUUAA